rnacentral:rRNA from 2 species
UACGAGAGGCGCAAACGUUAUUCGGAUUUACUGGGCUUAAAGAGUUCGUAGGCGGCGCAGAAAGUAGGGUGUGAAAGCCCUCGGCUCAACCGAGGAAUUGCGCUCUAAACUACUGUGCUUGAGGAAGCUAGAGGUGAGCGGAACUGAUGGUGGAGCGGUGAAAUGCGUUGAUAUCAUCAGGAACACCGGAGGCGAAGGCGGCUCACUGGGGCUUAUCUGACGCUGAGGAACGAAAGCCAGGGGAGCGAACGGG